AAUUAUAACUAGGAGAGACUCUCCUUGCGUCUGAAACAGUCCAGAUACGUCCUACAACAAGUCACACAACCAAAAGUAACCUUGAAGCUAACUGGACACAAAAAUAAAAAAUAAACAGUCUCAAAGACGAAAUCCUAAAAUAUAAAAGCAACCGUUAACUAUCAAAUCCCUCCGGUGAAAU
rnacentral:sRNA from 1 species